rnacentral:piRNA from 1 species
UCUUCGUGUGACAAUAAUCAGGGCCUCUGUC